GGCCUAACACAUGCAAGUCGAGGGGUAUUGUUCUUCGGAAUGAGAGACCGGCGCACGGGUGCGUAACGCGUAUGCAAUCUACCUUUCACAGAGGGAUAGCCCAGAGAAAUUUGGAUUAAUACCUCAUAGUAUGCAGAGUUGGCAUCAACACUGCAUUAAAGUCACAACGGUGAAAGAUGAGCAUGCGUCCCAUUAGCUAGUUGGUAAGGUAACGGCUUACCAAGGCUACGAUGGGUAGGGGUCCUGAGAGGGAGAUCCCCCACACUGGUACUGAGACACGGACCAGACUCCUACGGGAGGCAGCAGUGAGGAAUAUUGGACAAUGGGCGCAAGCCUGAUCCAGCCAUGCCGCGUGCAGGAUGACGGUCCUAUGGAUUGUAAACUGCUUUUGCACAGGAAGAAACAACUCUACGUGUAGAGUCUUGACGGUACUGUGAGAAUAAGGAUCGG
rnacentral:rRNA from 1 species